rnacentral:rRNA from 1 species
AGCGGGAAGCCCACCUCAAGAUUAGAUUUCCCUAAAGAGCCGUUCAAGACUAGGACGUUGAUAGGCAGGGUGUGGAAGCACAGCGAUGUGUGUAGCUAACCUGUACUAAUUGCUCGUUUGGCUUGACCAU